rnacentral:rRNA from 1 species
CUACGUGCCAGCAGCCGCGGUAAUACGGAAGGUCCGGGCGUUAUCCGGAUUUAUUGGGUUUAAAGGGAGCGUAGGCCGGAGAUUAAGUGUGUUGUGAAAUGUAGACGCUCAACGUCUGACUUGCAGCGCAUACUGGUUUCCUUGAGUACGCACAACGUUGGCGGAAUUCGUCGUGUAGCGGUGAAAUGCUUAGAUAUGACGAAGAACUCCGAUUGCGAAGGCAGCUGACGGGAGCGCAACUGACGCUUAAGCUCGAAGGUGCGGGUAUCGAACAGGAUUAGAUACCCUGGUAGUCCGCACAGUAAACGAUGGAUGCCCGCUGUUGGUACCUGGUAUCAGCGGCUAAGCGAAAGCAUUAAGCAUCCCACCUGGGGAGUACGCCGGCAACGGUGAAACUCAAAGGAAUUGACGGGGGCCCGCACAAGCGGAGGAACAUGUGGUUUAAUUCGAUGAUACGCGAGGAACCUUACCCGGGCUUGAAUUGCAGAGGAAGGAUUUAGAGAUAAGA